UGGGGAAUUUUGGACAAUGGGCGAAAGCCUGAUCCAGCAAUGCCGCGUGUGUGAAGAAGGCCUUCGGGUUGUAAAGCACUUUUGUCCGGAAAGAAAUGGCUCUGGUUAAUACCUGGGGUCGAUGACGGUACCGGAAGAAUAAGGACCGGCUAACUACGUGCCAGCAGCCGCGGUAAUACGUAGGGUCCAAGCGUUAAUCGGAAUUACUGGGCGUAAAGCGUGCGCAGGCGGUUGUGCAAGACCGAUGUGAAAUCCCCGAGCUUAACUUGGGAAUUGCAUUGGUGACUGCACGGCUAGAGUGUGUCAGAGGGGGGUUAGAAUUCCACGUGUAGCAGUGAAAUGCGUAGAGAUGUGGAGGAAUACCGAUGGCGAAGGCAGCCCCCAUGGGAUAACACUGACGCUCAUGCACGAAAAGCGUGGGGAGCAAAACAGGAUUAGAUACCCUGGUAGUCCCACGCCCUAAAAGCGAUGUCAACUAGUUGUUGGGGGCAUUUCAUUUUCCCUUAGUAACGUAGCUAACGCGUGAAGUUGACCGCCUGGGGAGUACGGUCGCAAGAUUAAAAGCUCAAAUGAAUUGACGGGG
rnacentral:rRNA from 1 species